UAAUUUCACUGUAGCAAUACAGUGGAGUUGGAGCGGCGCAAGGGUGCGUAACACGUGGGUAAUUUGCCGUAGAGUUGGGGAUAACUCGCUGAAAGGCGAGCUAAUACCGGAUGUGAAGUUUGGGUGGCAUCACCUGACCUUUAAAGCUGGGGACCGCAAGGCCUGGCGCUCUACGAUAAGCCCGCGGCCUAUCAGCUAGUUGGUGAGGUAACGGCUCACCAAGGCUAAGACGGGUAGCUGGUCUGAGAGGACGACCAGCCACACUGGAACUGAGACACGGUCCAGACACCUACGGGUGGCAGCAGUCGAGAAUUUUUCUCAAUGGGCGCAAGCCUGAAGGAGCGACGCCGCGUGGGGGAUGAAGGGUUUCGAUCCGUAAACCCCUGUCAUUCGUGAACAAUGGUUACCGUUGAACAUUCGGUGACUUGAUAGUAACGGAAGAGGAAGGGACGGCUAACUCUGUGCCAGCAGCCGCGGUAAUACAGAGGUCCCGAGCGUUGUUCGGAUUCACUGGGCGUAAAGGGUGCGUAGGUGGCAUGGUAAGUUUGAUGUGAAAGCUCAGGGCUUAACCCUGAAAUGGCAUUGAAUACUACGGUGCUGGAGGUUUGGAGGGGGGACUGGAAUUCUUGGUGUAGCAGUGAAAUGCGUAGAUAUCAAGAGGAACACCAGUGGCGAAGGCGAGUCCCUGGACAACACCUGACACUGAGGCACGAAAGCUAGGGGAGCAAACAGGAUUAGAUACCCUGGUAGUCCUAGCCCUAAACGGUGUGCGCUUGCUGUAAGAGGAAUCGACCCCUCUUGUGGCG
rnacentral:rRNA from 1 species